rnacentral:rRNA from 1 species
UACGUAGGGUGCGAGCGUUGUCCGGAAUUACUGGGCGUAAAGAGCUCGUAGGUGGUUUGUCGCGUUGUUCGUGAAAUCUCACGGCUUAACUGUGAGCGUGCGGGCGAUACGGGCAGACUUGAGUACUGCAGGGGAGACUGGAAUUCCUGGUGUAGCGGUGGAAUGCGCAGAUAUCAGGAGGAACACCGGUGGCGAAGGCGGGUCUCUGGGCCGAUACUGACGCUGAGGAGCGAAAGCGUGGGGAGCGAACAGG